rnacentral:rRNA from 1 species
UACAGAGGUCUCAAGCGUUGUUCGGAUUUACUGGGCGUAAAGAGCGCGCAGGCGGUCGUUCAAGUCGCGUGUGAAAGCCCCCGGCUCAACUGGGGAGGGUCACGCGAUACUGAUCGACUCGAAGGCAGGAGAGGGUAGUGGAAUUCCCGGUGUAGUGGUGAAAUGCGUAGAUAUCGGGAGGAACACCAGUGGCGAAGGCGACUACCUGGCCUGUUCUUGACGCUGAGGCGCGAAAGCUAGGGGAGCAAACGGGG